UUUGAAGGGGAUAGAGUGAUUAAGGGCUAAUAAAAAAGUAACAUGGGGCUGUAUUUCCCCCUCUGGAUGAGGGGGCUUUUUUUA
rnacentral:sRNA from 2 species